AGAGUUUGAUCCUGGCUCAGGAUGAACGCUAGCUACAGGCUUAACACAUGCAAGUCGAGGGGCAGCAUGGACCCAGUUUUGCUGGGUUUGAUGGCGACCGGCGCACGGGUGAGUAACGCGUAUCCAACCUGCCCUUUACUCCGGGAUAGUCUCCUGAAAGGGAGUUUAAUACCGGAUGUGUUUGUCUUUCCGCAUGGGAGCGACAAAUAAAGAUUGAUUGGUAAAGGAUGGGGAUGCGUCCCAUUAGCUUGUUGGCGGGGUAACGGCCCACCAAGGCGACGAUGGGUAGGGGUUCUGAGAGGAAGGUCCCCCACAUUGGAACUGAGACACGGUCCAAACUCCUACGGGAGGCAGCAGUGAGGAAUAUUGGUCAAUGGGCGGGAGCCUGAACCAGCCAAGUAGCGUGAAGGAUGACGGCCCUACGGGUUGUAAACUUCUUUUAUAAGGGAAUAAAGUUCGCCACGUGUGGUGUUUUGUAUGUACCUUAUGAAUAAGCAUCGGCUAAUUCCGUGCCAGCAGCCGCGGUAAUACGGAAGAUGCGAGCGUUAUCCGGAUUUAUUGGGUUUAAAGGGAGCGUAGGCGGGCUUUUAAGUCAGCGGUCAAAUGCCACGGCUCAACCGUGGCCAGCCGUUGAAACUGCAAGCCUUGAGUCUGCACAGGGCACAUGGAAUUCGUGGUGUAGCGGUGAAAUGCUUAGAUAUCACGAAGAACUCCGAUCGCGAAGGCAUUGUGCCGGGGCAGCACUGACGCUGAGGCUCGAAAGUGCGGGUAUCAAACAGGAUUAGAUACCCUGGUAGUCCGCACGGUAAACGAUGAAUGCUCGCUAUGGGCGAUACAAUGUCCGUGGCCAAGCGAAAGCGUUAAGCAUUCCACCUGGGGAGUACGCCGGCAACGGUGAAACUCAAAGGAAUUGACGGGGGCCCGCACAAGCGGAGGAACAUGUGGUUUAAUUCGAUGAUACGCGAGGAACCUUACCCGGGCUU
rnacentral:rRNA from 1 species